AUUGAACGCUGGCGGAAUGCUUUACACAUGCAAGUCGAACGGCAGCACGGACUUCGGUCUGGUGGCGAGUGGCGAACGGGUGAGUAAUGUAUCGGAACGUGCCCAGUCGUGGGGGAUAACGUAGUGAAAAUUACGCUAAUACCGCAUACGAUCUAUGGAUGAAAGCGGGGGAUCGCAAGACCUCGCGCGAUUGGAGCGGCCGAUAUCAGAUUAGGUAGUUGGUAGGGUAAAGGCCUACCAAGCCAACGAUCUGUAGCUGGUCUGAGAGGACGACCAGCCACACUGGAACUGAGACACGGUCCAGACUCCUACGGGAGGCAGCAGUGGGGAAUUUUGGACAAUGGGCGAAAGCCUGAUCCAGCCAUUCCGCGUGCAGGAUGAAGGCCCUCGGGUUGUAAACUGCUUUUGUACGGAACGAAAAGGUUUCUCUUAAUACGAGGAGCUCAUGACGGUACCGUAAGAAUAAGCACCGGCUAACUACGUGCCAGCAG
rnacentral:rRNA from 1 species